CUGUCGUGGGCGCUGGAGAACUGAGGGGGGCUGCUCCUAGUACGAGAGGACCGGAGUGGACGCAUCACUGGUGUUCGGGUUGUCAUGCCAAUGGCACUGCCCGGUAGCUAAAUGCGGAAGAGAUAAGUGCUGAAAGCAUCUAAGCACGAAACUUGCCCCGAGAUGAGUUCUCCCUGAGACUUAGAGUCUCCUGAAGGAACGUUGAAGACGACGACGUUGAUAGGCCGGGUGUGUAAGCGCAGCGAUGCGUUGAGCUAACCGGUACUAAUGAACCGUGAGGCUUAACCUUACAACGCCGAAG
rnacentral:rRNA from 1 species